GGGGCCCAGGAAAGCCUGUUUAGGCUACCCCAUUUAAGUGAGGAAAAGUGUAUUUAUUUAAUUCUUUUUCCUUUCCCUUUUAUUUUCCUCAUCCGCCGAACUCGUGAUUGUUUUCCUUUCCCCAAUCGUCGUUUACUCUCCCUCACUCCCGAUUUCCUUGCGACGUCGAAGCCCGAACUGCUGCGGCGGUUUCCUCUCCUUCCCCUCGCUUCUCUGCCUCGAGCCCGAGCCACAUUGCCGAGAUCUUUCCCCUUUGUGUCGUCUGCCCUAGUCGCCUUGCACGCCACCACAGCCGAUGCCGCCGAGGUAGUGUCGACCCGCCGUCGCCGACCCCGAUCCACUGUCGGUUGAGGGUUUCUGCCACUCCUCAGCCUUACCGUCGGCCCUUCUCCUCUUUCGAGCGUCGGCCACCGACCAAACUCCUAUGCCCUAGACCUGCCGAAGCUCUCCAAGACGGUGCCCUACCUGGUUUGUUUCGGCGCCACCGGGUCAAAUCGGAUGCCACCACUGAUCGCCGGAGUGGAAGGGUUAUCCGGACUGCAAGGGUGUUCUGCCGAGCCACAACCAGUCUCUGUUGUGUUUGCUGCCACCACCAGAGAAGAGGAAAUUAGGGAAGAAUUCAGCAGAGAGGACGUUCUGUUCCAUUCUGUUGAGAUCUGUGGAUUUGCUUGGUUCCAGCAUCAACAGUAGGUUGUUUGCUGUGGAAAGUUGCUGUUGUCGAUCACCACUUCCUCCUUCUUGAUCUGGUUGAUUUGAGGACAUUGACGCGAGACGAGUAUCUCGACGUCCGGAUCUGGAUUGAUUGGACCAUUUCUUU